CAUCUUUGUAAAUACUUCGAUCACGCAUAUUUAUCACAGUUUCGUUAUCAUCGUAAUAUCCGAAAUGACUGCUUUGCCAUGGAGUAAUAACACCAUCCUCAGGUCCACCAACAAGUACCAUACGUUUUAAUUUGAAAAACACAAGUAUAAAUUGUUGAGAAAUAAUUAAGAAAUCGCGUGUAUACUCACUUGAUGAUGAGGAUCAUUCCAGUAAUUGCCAAUACUGGUAUGUUGUCCAAUUUUUGAAUAAAAUAAUUCAUAGGCAGUUUCACACACCAAGUCGGGGAAAAAUAAAUGAAGAAAUCGAGCUGGAAUGAAAUACAGAAUAACAAUUUGAAAAAUGACAAUUCCUUUGUUUCCUCUCAAAGAUGGCACUAGGAUCACCUACUUCCAUAUUGUCCCGCUUGUGGAAAUGCAGCACCAACGGAUAUAACAUCCAUGCCUAUUUCUUCCACUUGGCGCCACAUCGAUUCCAGACUACUCCAUCCGGCAUAUCUUGGAGUAUUAUAAACCUGUGUUCCUGGAUGCAUCUAAAAUCGAUUAAUUUAUGGG
rnacentral:lncRNA from 1 species